GUUUUUAGUACCAUGCGCUCGACGACCAAACACCGCUGAGUGAACAAAGGAUCCAAGAUGGCCGACCGCCACAUGGGCGGUAGUCGAACGGCGGCCACCUAGGAGAGCCUCUAAUUACAGAUUGCAACAUUGUUGCAAUCGGUUAACAAGUGCCACACGCCUCUAAGUGUGUGGGCUACUACAUGGGGGUAUUUUCGGUUCACGAACGGCCCGCAAAAGUGCCGUUCAUGAAACGAAA